rnacentral:lncRNA from 1 species
CUUUCAGCCAGCAUUAGAGUUUUAAAAUCUAAACAGAGCUCUUCCAUGCAAUCAGCAUUAGGGUUUUAAACCCUAAACUGAAUUUUCCUUUUAGUCAGCAUUAGGGUUUUUAAAACCCUAAACUAAACUUUUUCCUUUCAGCCAGCAUUAGAGUUUUAAACUCUAAACUGAGCUUUUCCAUGCAAUCAGCAUUAGGGUUUUAAACCCUAAACUGAAUUUUCCUUUUAGUCAGCAUUAGGGUUUUAAACCCUAAACUGAACUUUUCCCUUUCAGCCAGCAUUAGAGUUUUAAACUCUAAACUGAGCUCUUCCAUGCAAUCAGCAUUAGGGUUUUAAACCCUAAACUGAAUUUUCCUUUUAGUCAGCAUUAGGGUUUUAAACCCUAAACUGAACUUUUUCCUUUUCAGCCAGCAUUAGAGUUUUAAACUCUAAACUGAGCUUUUCCAUCCAAUCAGCAUUAGGGUUUUAAACCCUAAACUGAAUUUUCCUUUUAGUCAGCAUUAGGGUUUUAAACCCUAAACUGAACUUUUUUCCUUUUCAGCCAGCAUUAGAGUUUUAAACUCUAAACUGAGCUUUUCCAUGCAAUCAGCAUUAGGGUUUUAAACCCUAAACUGAAUUUUUCUUUUAGUCAGCAUUGGGGUUUUAAACCCUAAACUGAACUUUUUCCUUUCAGCCAGCAUUAGAGUUUUAAACUCUAAACUGAGCUUUUCCAU